ACCUGCUUCCAGGAGAACCCAAACCUGCACCAAGGAGUUACCUGCCGGCGCCUCCCACACCCUUCAGCCCCUGCCUCUUCAGUGCCCUGCAGGACCCUGGCCCAAGCGCACCAGCCUUCUAUUUCCCUAACUGCCAGCUACCUGUCCAUCCAUCCACCCUCCUUGGGCCUCAGUUGGGGCUGGAACCUGACACAUUCAUCUGCAUAUCUGGCUCUUUCCUCAAUCUGGAAUGUUCUUUUGACCUUUCUGCACCUGGCUACUUGCCUCGUUCUUUCAGCCUUAUCUCAGACACCUCCAGGAAGCCUUCUCUGAUGCUUUCCUGGCUGGACGACAAGGGAGGAGCAAGCCGAGGAGGGCCUUGAGUGUUUGCACGGAGAUGAAGUUCCUGCCCACAGGUCACAGGGGGUGGCAAGACCUAUAGUUCUGAGACCCCUGAAGGUGCCAGGCAUGGGGCUUGGGAGCUGGGCAUAUGGUGAUUAAAAAAAGAAAAACAACCCAGAUUGUCCCA
ensembl:lncRNA novel transcript